rnacentral:rRNA from 1 species
GUCCACGCCCUAAACGAUGUCAACUGGUUGUCGUGGAAGUUUUUCCUUGGUAACGAAGCUAACGCGUGAAGUUGACCGCCUGGGGAGUACGGCCGCAAGGUUAAAACUCAAAGGAAUUGACGGGGACCCGCACAAGCGGUGGAUUAUGUGGAUUAAUUCGAUGCAACGCGAAAACCUUACCUACCCUUGACAUGUGCGGAAUGGGGUAUAGAUACCUCGGUGCCCGAAAGGGAACCGCAACACAGGUGCUGCAUGGCUGUCGU